rnacentral:rRNA from 1 species
CGGGUGAGUAAUACAUCGGAACGUGUCUUCUAGUGGGGGAUAACUGCCCGAAAGGGCAGCUAAUACCGCAUGAGACCUGAGGGGUGAAAGCGGGGGAUCGCAAGACCUCGCGCUGGAAGAGCGGCCGAUGUCCGAUUAGCUAGUUGGUGAGGUAAAGGCUCACCAAGGCGACGAUCGGUAGCUGGUCUGAGAGGACGACCAGCCACACUGGGACUGAGACACGGCCCAG